AAAGACCAAGGGUUCCUGCGCAACGUUAAUCGACGCAGGGUUAGUCGGUUCCUAAGGCGAGGCUGAAAAGCGUAGUCGAUGGGAAACAGGUUAAUAUUCCUGUACUUCUGGUUACUGCGAUGGAGGGACGGAGAAGGCUAGGCCAGCUUGGCGUUGGUUGUCCAAGUUUAAGGUGGUAGGCUGAAAUCUUAGGUAAAUCCGGGGUUUCAAGGCCGAGAGCUGAUGACGAGUCGUCUUUUAGAUGACGAAGUGGUUGAUGCCAUGCUUCCAAGAAAAGCUUCUAAGCUUCAGGUAACCAGGAACCGUACCCCAAACCGACACAGGUGGUCGGGUAGAGAAUACCAAGGCGCUUGAGAGAACUCGGGUGAAGGAACUAGGCAAAAUGGCACCGUAACUUCGGGAGAAGGUGCGCCGGCUAGGGUGAAGGAUUUACUCCGUAAGCUCUGGCUGGUCGAAGAUACCAGGCCGCUGCGACUGUUUAUUAAAAACACAGCACUCUGCAAACACGAAAGUGGACGUAUAGGGUGUGACGCCUGCCCGGUGCCGGAAGGUUAAUUGAUGGGGUUAGCGCAAGCGAAGCUCUUGAUCGAAGCCCCGGUAAACGGCGGCCGUAACUAUAACGGUCCUAAGGUAGCGAAAUUCCUUGUCGGGUAAGUUCCGACCUGCACGAAUGGCGUAACGAUGGCGGCGCUGUCUCCACCCGAGACUCAGUGAAAUUGAAAUCGCUGUGAAGAUGCAGUGUAUCCGCGGCUAGACGGAAAGACCCCGUGAACCUUUACUGUAGCUUUGCACUGGACUUUGAGCCUGCUUGUGUAGGAUAGGUGGGAGGCUUUGAAGCGUGGACGCCAGUUCGCGUGGAGCCAUCCUUGAAAUACCACCCUGGCAUGCUUGAGGUUCUAACUCUGGUCCGUGAUCCGGAUCGAGGACAGUGUAUGGUGGGCAGUUUGACUGGGGCGGUCUCCUCCUAAAGAGUAACGGAGGAGUACGAAGGUGCGCUCAGACCGGUCGGAAAUCGGUCGUAGAGUAUAAAGGCAAAAGCGCGCUUGACUGCGAGACAGACACGUCGAGCAGGUACGAAAGUAGGUCUUAGUGAUCCGGUGGUUCUGUAUGGAAGGGCCAUCGCUCAACGGAUAAAAGGUACUCCGGGGAUAACAGGCUGAUACCGCCCAAGAGUUCAUAUCGACGGCGGUGUUUGGCACCUCGAUGUCGGCUCAUCACAUCCUGGGGCUGAAGCCGGUCCCAAGGGUAUGGCUGUUCGCCAUUUAAAGUGGUACGCGAGCUGGGUUUAGAACGUCGUGAGACAGUUCGGUCCCUAUCUGCCGUG
rnacentral:rRNA from 1 species